GAGUUUGAUCCUGGCUCAGGAUGAACGCUGGCGGCAUGCCUAAUACAUGCAAGUCGAACGAGAGGAAGGAAAGCUUGCUUUCCUGAAUCUAGUGGCGAACGGGUGAGUAACACGUAGGUAACCUGCCCAUGUGCCCGGGAUAACUUCUGGAAACGGAUGCUAAAACCGGAUAGGUAGCAGACAAGCAUUUGACUGCUAUUAAAGUGGCUUUGGCCAUGAACAUGGAUGGACCUGCGGUGCAUUAGCUGGUUGGUGAGGUAACGGCCCACCAAGGCGACGAUGCAUAGCCGGCCUGAGAGGGCGGACGGCCACAUUGGGACUGAGACACGGCCCAAACUCCUACGGGAGGCAGCAGUAGGGAAUUUUCGUCAAUGGGGGGAACCCUGAACGAGCAAUGCCGCGUGAGUGAGGAAGGUCUUCGGAUCGUAAAGCUCUGUUGUAAGAGAAAAACGGCACUCAUAGGGAAUGAUGAGUGAGUGAUGGUAUCUUACCAGAAAGUCACGGCUAACUACGUGCCAGCCGCCGCGGUAAUUC
rnacentral:rRNA from 1 species